ACGAAGCAUGCUCAGUGGCAAAAAGCUUCGCUCCCGUGCCUGUCAAGCUCGAGGUUUGAACUCGUUCCAGAAUGCCGGAUUUACUUUUCAGGAAGGAACAGUACCUGCCUGGGCUGCGAUUUUUUUUCCCUUCCCUCCUCCUGCUCAGAGGAGUGCAAACAAUGUUCUUUUGAUGCUUUCCUGCCAGUGGGAAUCUCGCCCUGGAGAAGGAGACCAAAACUUUGCUACCUGUGAGAAACGAAGACUGCGUAGGUAGCAGUGGAAAUGAAAGCAAUUCUAUUUCCCACACAGGCUCCGUAAAUGAGUAACUUCAGUGGGAAUUGCUCAUGGAAAAGAGAAAGGAUCACCUGGAUUCUUCUGGAGCUGGGAGUCAGGGCCAGGAAUCUCCAGGAAGGACCUGCCCAAGGCACAAGAAGAAGAUCUCACCUGUCCAGAGGCUCCAUCACACCUGGAGCUUCAGGCAAGUUCCAUCUCCCCUGCUUGGAGCUCCACUGCCGAGUGCUGGUGGCAGACUGAGGGAGAAGGAGCAAACCCCAGCAUGUUAAAGCCACUCGUGGAACACAGGGCUCUGCCAGUGCUGGUGAAGCCUCUUCUGAGAAGCACAUGGAAAAUCUCCAAUCCCAAAUCCAGCUGCUCCUUCCCCCUGGCCAACAGCCUGAGGAGGAGCUGAGCACAGGUGCUCCACCCCAGCUCUGACUUCUGCUGGAUUUCUCCAUAUUCCUGAUCUCCUUUUGGCAGCUGGGUGAGAAGGGAAUGCCAUGGCCAAGGAGGGAUUGCCAAGGAGGGAUUACCAAGGUUCAAGCUGUAUUCCAAGGGAACACGAGCUCUGGAUGUCACCUCUGCUCCAGAACCGUGUGGAAACCAAGAACUGAGCAGGUCCUUUUUUAUUUCCACUCAUUUUCAGGGUGGUUUCUCCCAAAUCAAGACAAGCAGUCAGAAUUCCUUCCCGAGGAGUUGGGCCUAGCAAUAUGGCAGCGCACGUUCCAUAGGAAAUCCUGCAAAUGCUGCUGCUGCUGCUGAGCUCUGUUCCCAAGGAGGGCACAGAUCCCUGUGCUCCCUGCCCCGCUCCAGCCUUGACCACUGAGAGAUUUCUGCACCCCAAAAUUCCAACAGGAGGGCAAAUCCUGCGUUUUCAAAGAUGCUGCAGCACCAAUUUUGGCUGCUGAAAACUUUGGGGAAAAGCUGGACUCUUUUAAGCCCUCGAGCAGCGUGGUGUUAACAUUCCCAAAAAAAGCACCAUGGCAACCCCUCAGCGUUCCUGCCUUCGUGGUCAGCGAGCAGAAGUCUCCAAAGGGCAUCAGCUGAGGGGGACAAAGGCAACGUGGACACUGCAGCUUCUCCAAGGACUCACAGCCCUCCAGGGAUGUGCUUCUCUCUGCAAGCUUUCACUCCAUUUCUGCAAGAAUUUCCUGCAAACCAUGUCCCUGAGAGGAUUAGAGGAGGGGAUACCAAUUUUAUUUAUAUUUAUUUAUAAAUGGACUGCAGAGACUUGGCCCCUUCUUAAAUAUGAGAACAAUUUUCAGGCCUCUUUCAGUUGUGGUUAUUUCACUCCAGAAAAAAAAAAAAAACCAAACCCAACAAACCACAAAACAAUAGAGAAAUACGAGAAGUUGUGGAAACCCCUCAAAUUUUCUCUGUUUAAAUUUUGAAUUCCUGGUGGUCACAGGCCCAGGUGAUGCUGCCAGUUGUGGGUUUUUUGUGUAGUGCCUGGCUCAGAGCAGCAAGUUGAGUUAAAUGCAAAGCUGGGAUCAAAUCAAACAGAACGACACCUCUAUUUUUAUUUUAUUUUUAUUUUUUUUGCCAGCCUGGAGGCCUUUAACAUUUUGGAAUUCGAGUGUUUUGCAAAACAGGGUUGCUGGACUCCAGUAAAUGAAGUGUCCGGAUGUGGGUGGUGAUUCAUAAAAGCAAUUAAAAGAGGAAAGUGCUUUUCCUCUGAGCGUAAUGUCUUGGUUGUAGGAUGUCCUUAAGUGAGUGUGAAGUGCUCAGGCAGUGGGCAGGGGAUGGGGGAUCUCUGUUCCAGGUCAUGGAUCUGUUUCCAGCCAACACUUCUUUACACGUGGUGCUGCUGAUUAAAAUCAACUUUUUAUUCUCUCACAGAGUGCCGGAGGUGGGGAGGGAGCUCUGGAGAUCACCCAGAACAGCCCCCUGGGCAGGCAGGGUCACCUGGGGCAGGGACAGGGACACAUCCAGCCGGGCUUGGGAUGCUCCAGAGCCCAAAACCUCCCUGGGCAGCUGUCCCAGGGCGCUGCCACCUCCGAUGUUCUUCCUCACGUUGAGGUGGAACUUGUUGAGUUUUACUUUCUGGCCUUUUGUUCCUUUUCCUGUCACCUAAACCAGUCUGGCACCCUCCUCACACCUGCCUUGGGGAUAUUUGUAUGGAUUUAACAACUGAAUCUUAUUUUGUUUCUAUUUCCAUGUAGUUCCCAUUUCUUCCUUCUUAAAUUUGGGAACAAUCCUCCUGAAAAUGAAACAUUUUCAGUGGGUGAAAUGUGGUUGUGGCAACAGAAAUAUUGACAGAUAAUUGAAACUCAUCAAAUGUGAUUUUUUUUUUUUCUUCUCCCUGGUGCAACUCCCUGGCAUUUCUGACCUUCCCCAAAGACAAAACACCCCAAUUUUAUACAGCUUUAAGGUGAUUUUCCAGGAGCAAGGAUGGAGGUUGUUGUUGUGCACAGGAUCCAGCGUUACCUGAGCCAGAAGCAGAGCCCGAGGCCCUCCCUGCAAACUUCCCAGGUGCUUUUGCAGCCUUCCCCAGCAGCCUGGGGGCUGUUAGGGAUGCUUAAACUUCGGGAUGCUGAAACUUAGGGAUGCUUAAACUUCGGGAUGCCUAAACUUAGGGAUGCUUAAGCUUAGGGAUGUUUCUCAGGCUGGCCCGGAGCAGGCACUUCCAGGGGAUUCCUCUGUGGAGCUUUCACACAUGGAAGUUCUGCCUCCCCCUGGCUCUGCCCUUGGUUAUCCCGUGCUAAGGGAAGCAGAAGAGUUUCCUGAUUUAUCAUGGAUCAUUAGGUGGAAGUAACAAUUCCUAAAACAUCAGGAUGGAUACAAUAAUUAGGGAUGUGCUUUUGUUAACACCGCCAGCCUCUACCCUCUUGUACAGUACCCUUGGGUACUAAAUAAUUACCCACUUUGUGUGGUUAUCUAGCUCACUAAUUACCCACAAAAAUUGGGGUCAGGUGUUAACUGCUUGAAAUAAGUAUCCUCCAAAGGCUUGGCUAAAGUGUGUAAAGAAAUUAUGUGUUUGCCACAAAACUUUGGGAAAAAAAAAAUCAAACAUUUUUUUUAUUGGGAAGGAAGAUAAGGAGACAAUGGGUGUGAAAUGCUCUGUGUGAUGGCAAAAUGUUGCAGUGGUGGUGAGAGACUCUAAAUUCAGUGAAAGGAUGGUUGGCAGAUCCAGUCACUAAUCCAGACUACUUUUCCCAAAGAUUAGAUCCUUCAGUACACAGGGUUUGAGUCUUCCCCUAUCUAGGCUGGUGCCAAUCAGGAUUAUGCCGAUAUAAAUAAGAAAAUUUGUAUCCGUGGAUUCCCAGACCGACUUUGCUGCAUAAUCCCACCUCUUCCAUCACCCAGAGACUUCUGCAUUGCGCCCAAUAAUUGAAUUAUGGACAGUGUGUUUAUUUCCACGCGUUUAUUUUAGCUGUCCCCAGCUCUGUGUGCACGCAGAAUUUCACUCUGAGGCUGCUGCUCAUAAAACGCAGCUCGCUCGGAGCAAUAAUUUGAUUCCUGUGCUCAGGGAGUUACCCCAGUGAGUCAAAGAUUUCUAGAUAGCCCCACCCUCCCCAACUUCCCGAACACUCACACUGCAGCCACUUUUCUCUUUGCCAGACCCACACAAGCUGCCUAAGCAGCCAAAAUCCCAAGGGGCGAUCCCAACCUCCUGCCUGCCCUGUUUGAGCCCCAGAAAAUGGGAAAUAAAGGCAGGGCAGCCCCGAAGCCCUUGGAACACCGGCCCGGGUGACAGAGGGUUGGUUCACAGCCCUUCUUCCCACCCUGCCUUCUUGCAUAGGUGCUCCCUGCCUUCAGCACAAAGGGAUUUCAGGGGAGCUCAGAAGGUGUUUCUGGAAAUCCUUGUGCCUUUGGAUACCUUUAAUUCCUGAGUGUCUGUGCGCUGCUCAGCGUAACAAAGAAACCGCCGGGAUUUAUCGCUGUAUUUUGCUUCUAUUGAGGCGCUUCCUCUCCUCCAUAGCCAGAUCCACCUCCUGUUCCUAUAAACACCUUUUGAAGCCCGUGUGGGAUUCAGCUAUUAGACAUCCCCAUCCCCAGGUUUUGGGGGGUCUGGGGGAGGCCCCAGGACGAGGUGUGAGCGUGGUUUUGGGGCUACCUGCGCCCCGCAUUGUGCCGAGCAUCUCUGGGAAAGGCAGGGCUCAGGCUCUCGGAGCACAAUGCAGAUUUAGUCGUCAUCUUUGUCUCUCCCCCCGCGCCCCCCCGCUCCACUCCCCGCUGAUGUUAACUGUCUGUAUUAUUAUUUAUUGUUAUCAGGGGAUUUGGUUUGAUCAAUGAAGUGUAUAUGCGUCUGACGGACAUUCGGGGAGGAAAUGCUUGGAGAAUGAGUAACAUGUCUGCAGUGGAGGGUGUGUGUGAGGGAGAGAGAGAGAGAGGGAGCAUCGGUACCAGAAACAUUGACUGAUGAGUUCAUUUUAAAAUCCAAGGGCAUAUAGCUGGUAAAUUAGCACAUAUUGCAAAUAUAGUCUGGUGCGAGAGGCAGCGGCGCUGCCAUUGAGCGCAGGGGUGGGUGUGGAGGGGAAGGGGGGGUCGAGGAGAGGAGGUUGUCAGCUCUAAAGUCAUCACGGGCAUGAGCCAGGCAGUCUGCCUGCCUCACUGCAGACGCGGGGCGUGCGAUUUCCACGGGCGGCUGCGGCGUGGCGGAGGGGGGAGCGGGGGGCACCCGCGAGAGCCAGCGCCGGGCUUUAUUGUUUUAAAAUGCACAGCCAGCCGCGGGGAUGCGAGGGAAAGGGCUGCAGCCCCUCCGCUUCCCCUGCAGCCCCCGCAGCCCCUCAGGAAGGCGGAGGGGGAGCGGCUGCCCGGAGGGUCCCGGGGCCGGUGCCCGGCGGGGAUGCGGCGGGGCCGGGGAUGCGGCGGGGAUGCGCCGGCAGCUUAAGAGAUUAUUGGGAAGGGAAAGCAAUGGUGUGUGUGAGUGUGUGAGUGUGUGAGUGUGUGCGGGGCUGGCGGCGGGGGGAGCCGGGUCCUUAUUCUGUUAAAGAUUUAAGUAGGCAUGCAAGGAAUCUCUAGGAUAGUUGGCAAAGGGCGAGGGUGGGGAGGGGGGGGAAGGAUCCAAAAGAGUCUGUAACCAGACACUGAAGCUUUCCAGGAGUGAGAGUGUGUGAGAGAGAAGGAGACAGAGCGAGAGGAAGAGAGGGGGCAGUGUGGUCUAGUACAUUUUCAUCUGGUCGUUGAUUUGAGCCUGAUGCUUGCUGUCCCUCAACAGCCUCCCUUGCCUGGAUUUUUUCUUUCCCCCUCUCCUCUCCUUUCCCUUCUAAUUCAUCGAAGCCUAGGGGAGCCAGGAAAGAUUAAAUGUGCUUUCGAAAAGGCAGCCACUUCAUGCAGCUAUGUCUGCUUCCCCCCCACACCCCCCAGCCACCCCCCCGCUCCCCCUUUUUGAAAUAAAAAAAAUAAAAAAUAGGGGGAGACAGAGAGGGGGAGAAGGAAGGAGGAGGAAGAGGAGGACUGUAGUUUAAUGAUGUCGGGACUGGCUGAUCCAGAAGGAGGAAAAAAAAAAAAAAGGGAAAAAAAAGAAAAAAAAAAAAGAAAA